CGGACGGGUGAGUAACACGUGGAUAACCUACCUAUAAGACUGGGAUAACUUCGGGAAACCGGAGCUAAUACCGGAUAAUAUAUUGAACCGCAUGGUUCAAUAGUGAAAGACGGUUUUGCUGUCACUUAUAGAUGGAUCCGCGCCACAUUAGCUAGUUGGUAAGGUAACAGCUUACCAAGGCAACGAUGCGUAGCCGACCUGAGAGGGUGAUCGGCCACACUGGAACUGAGACACGGUCCAG
rnacentral:rRNA from 1 species